GGUAUAGUGGCAUAGUGGUUUGAGUGUUGGACUAUGACUCAGGAGAUCAGGGUUCAAUUCCCAGUUCAGCCA
rnacentral:tRNA from 1 species